AGAGUUUGAUCCUGGCUCAGGAUGAACGCUGGCGGCGUGCUUAACACAUGCAAGUCGAACGGACAGGUAAUGAAACCUAGUGAUUUAUCUGUUAGUGGCGGACGGGUGAGUAACGCGUGGGUAACCUGCCGUAUACAGGGGGAUAACACUUAGAAAUAGGUGCUAAAACCGCAUAAGCGCACAGGAUCGCAUGGUCCGGUGUGAAAAACUCCGGUGGUAUACGAUGGACCCGCGUCUGAUUAGCUUGUUGGCGGGGUAGAGGCCCACCAAGGCGACGAUCAGUAGCCGGCCUGAGAGGGUGAACGGCCACAUUGGGACUGAGACACGGCCCAAACUCCUACGGGAGGCAGCAGUGGGGAAUAUUGCACAAUGGGGGAAACCCUGAUGCAGCGACGCCGCGUGAGUGAAGAAGUAUUUCGGUAUGUAAAGCCCUAUCAGCAGGAAAGAAAAUGACGGUACCUGACUAAGAAGCCCCGGCUAACUACGUG
rnacentral:rRNA from 1 species